GCCAGCUCAUCAAGUGCUUACAUUCAGCAGCUUCUCUCAAGGGAUGUUGCCUGCCAGACAGAAAACCUGGAAACGCAUAUUUGUAGGCACAAAGCUGUCCUUAAAGUCUAUGCAGCCCCAUUUUAAAAGUGAAGAAGACUGCGAUGCCUUUGGAGACCGUAGCACUCAGUGUUGCGCCACCUCAGAGAUUCUUGGUGUGGACGCCCCUGGCUCCUCCCACAUGUCCAGUCACAGCGAGGAGCUGAAGAUUCUGAGCGUCUACGGAAAAGGGGAGGGCCCACUGGCGGAGGACGGCCAUGACACCCUCUUCACCUCGUCAGAAGUGGAGGCCCUGAACUCGCUGCCUGCGGACCACCGCGCGGCCAAGAGCCAGGAGCGCGGUGAGCGGCUGGUCUGCCACGAGGAGCUGCGUGUGCAGGUUGGAAAUCAUCUUCUCAUUCACCAUCCAAAAGAGAGGUUUCCUCUGUUACAACUCUAAAACAAACCCAUAGAAAGCUCACACCUUUAUGAUUCAGUAAACGUUUUUACACCGCCAAAUAUGCCCGUCUUAUGCCCAACUUUUCCCCUGUGUGAUCUGCACGUUUACACUGAGCGAGGUAAUUUACAGGCUUUAUUUCACACCCCUAUUAACCCUCUCUGACCCUACACAUAUUGGGGGUUUCAUUUUGAUGUAAAUGCGAUAAGACAGCCUUGCGGUUCUAGGGGGGAGGCUUGGGUAGAGGUGUUGCUGCAUUGUCUCUACAACAGAGACGAUGCAGCGAUAUCAACAUGAAUAGUUGUAACUGGAGAGACGGCGAAAUCCGCAAGCUGCUGACCAUCAUGGGAGAGAAGGUGAUGCAGUCGC
rnacentral:lncRNA from 1 species